rnacentral:lncRNA from 1 species
UGAAAGCUGUGAAGAUUCCCUUCACCAGUCAACUCUUCUACCAAUGGAGAAAAGGACCUUUCAAGCCUGAUCAGUUCAGCUACCUCUGUCUUGUCUGUCCUAACCUGAGAACGUGGGUCUUCAGUUUUGUUAGCUGAAUAAGGAAAGUCUUCUCUGCAGUAGUCAAAGUAACUGAAACUCUUUCUUAGUUUUGGAUACAACCAACUGCAUCAAGACAGACUGCUUAAAGACAAAAGUUUAUCAACUCCAACGGUUCUUUUGCAACGACUAUUUUCUAGUGGUAUAUAUACUAGAAGAUUCAGCUACAACAAACAUACAAUUAUCA